rnacentral:lncRNA from 1 species
CGAAAGUUUUGUACAUGAUGGACCCAGAGAAGUACUGGUUUGACAACUGAAAGCUCAAUGUUGUUGCCCAGGACUCGGACCUUUGAAUUCACAAAUCAACCGAUGACGCCGAAGCCUCUUUGGAACCCUGGUGCUCGCCCACCCACGUCCGAACUGGGCCAAGUAGAAGAUAAAUCCAACAAAAUGCUCGGUAGGGUAAGUAGCAUCAUAGCCCGAGUAUAAGCACUCGACUGCAUGCAAUCACAGCUCUCCAAACCCAGUAGGUUACAAAAUCAGGUCCAAGCCUAGGCCCCAACUAAAGGAAUAAAAAAAGAAAAAGGAGAUUCCAGC